UUUUCAUGGCUCCACCUCCCAGUGUGAUUCUAUUGAGGUCUGAGGAGGUAAGGGCAAGAAUGGUUGUGAAUUUGCCCACGCAAAUUACAUGCAGAUGACAACACAGGGAGUCUACAGGGUCUGAGGUCCAUGAAAGCAAGACCUUUCUCUUCUUUUAAAUCUCAAGGCCUGGAAGUCUGGCACAGAGUAAUUGGUCUCCAGGAUGGCAUGGAACUAGAAGGCAGGGACUGCUGGGAUUGAAUUUAAAAUAGCUCCUUUAUUUGAGCGUUGUCCCUCUAGUUGUCUGACAAGCAGCAUGUUUUUAAAAUAAAGAUAAAGGACAUUUGCCUUUUGUUUUCCAACCCAGGAAUCUUCAGUUUAGAGGCUUUUUGCAUGGAAGGGUUACCUACCCCUCCUAAUGAGAAACCCAAUCCAGCACAGCCAGUGCUGUGUACUGUGUUCCUGACUUUCAGCCUACUAAAGGAAGAACUCUAGGGUAACUACACCAAGGAGACGAAUGACUGACCAUUGGAUAAACUCAGCAAAGUUGGGCAAUACACUGCCGAAGCUGUUCUUAGCCCGGUAGAGCGUUUCUGAUGGGGAUCAUGAAGAGCUCUGAAGGUGGACAGUGGCUACACGAUUGCAGAAGAAUAUGCACGAACUCGCUGUCACUGAACUGUGCAUGUAAAAAUUGUUAAAAAAAAAAAAAGGUAACUUUUAUAUGUUACUGUGGUAACACAAAAUGCUAUGGGAUGCUCGUCGUAGCUUUAUGUAUUUUCCAAAUUAUGUGGGUUCAAAACAAGGACCCCAAGUAAACAGCUUGAGUUUCUAAGCUUUCUCAGGACGUGUUAUUUAUGAGAUGAUUGCCAGCUUGUGGCAUGACUCGGCAUAAGUGAGCCAUGGGAACCCAGAGGUGGAGCAAAGCACGGGAGCACAUUUUAAUUUUCUGUCACACUCUCCUCUAUCCCGUCAACCUCUCUCUCAGAUCUGAUUGGGAAACACUGGACUGAGUGUGUGUGCACUGCAAACGUGGAAGCUGCAAUAACAGGUAGGGCAGUUGCAGUCGCUGUAGUAUGACCAAGAUGGGCAGAGGACAUAAGGAAACGGAGCACAAACAGAUCCUGGAUGUAGAAGGCAGGAGAGACAGAAAGGCUGGAGGAAUGAGUUCUGAUGGCCUACUGCACAGUAGCAUAUGCUUACAGUAAUUCUCUACUUUAUAAAGAACUAGGAGUUUGAUGACUGACACUUUUGUUGAACCGUGUAGCAGCCAGAGUUAACAAUACACCUUGAGGUCACUUAAGACUUAAGACCUUGAGAGCUGGUUUGGAGGUUCUAGCAGGGGAGCACUGCGACUCGUAUACUAUUGACAGAAGACUGGUCCUCCUCUAUUCCAGGAAGGUUGUCCUCCUCUGUUCCGGGAGGCAGGAAGGGGAGCAGAGAAAAAUGUGGAGCUCAACAGAUACCAAUUUAAAAGAAUCAUUCAAACAGCUCUUGUUGUCCUGCUGUGUACCCAGCCUGAUGUCUCUGACGCCACUUUUAAGAGAGCAGUACAACUAUCAGUCUUCCGUGCCUUGGAUUUCCCGUCUCAUCAACUUCUGUAAUCUAAGCUAAUGCAUAGAUAUAAUCUGAAAUUGUGGACUCGUUUCCAAGCCCCUGACCAGACAACGUGAAUCCAGAACCCUACCAACUGUGGUCAAUCAGGGCACUGAACGAUCAACUGCCUCUCCAAGGAAAGUUGGUUCUCCAAGUCUCUCUUCCACAGAAAAAUGUCUCAAAUCUUCUGAGUCUGGUAGCCAAAGGUUGAUGCUGACCUGUGCGGCAGCCCAAAACUUAAUGCUGUUUUGUGUGGAGACCAAAGGUUGACAACCUCUGCCCCCAACAAAGCCGUCAAGAUCACCAUGGAGAAGGCUGGCUGCCCAAGUAGUGGGUGGCUGUGGAGACCAGAAGGGACCCCAGAAGCAGACAUCAGGAUCCCCUGGUUCUGAAGUUCUAGGUAGUUGCGAGCCACCUGAUAUGAGUUUUGAGAACAAUAUUUCAAUCCUCUGCAAGAGCAGCAAACACUUUCAACCCCUGAGGUGUUGGAACAGGACAAGGAAUUUGUCAUCAGUGCCUGGCCUCCUGUCCUAAGUUUGGCUCUGGAAGCAGGAAGCUGGCUAGCAGAG